UGGGUAAUCUUUGAACGUGAAUCGUGAUGGGGAUAGAUGAUUGCAAUUAUUCAUCUUCAACGAGGAAUUCCUAGUAAACGCAAGUCAUCAGCUUGCAUUGAUUACGUCCCUGCCCUUUGUACACACCGCCCGUCGCACCUACCGAUUGAAUGGUCCGGUGAAAUCUUCGGAUCUGAGAGAUGUCUGAUUAAUUUCGGACGCCUUUUAGAAAAGUUGCUUAAACCUUACCAUUUAGAGGAAGGUGAAGUCGUAACAAGGUUUCCGUAGGUGAACCUGCGGAAGGAUCAUUA
rnacentral:rRNA from 1 species